GGGUGAGUUUGAAAACUCUGUGUGCAACAAGCUCCUUUCAGAGCCCAAACCAAGAUCAGCAUACUGGGCUUAAGCCCAAAUUCAGUCUCAAUAAAUACUGGGCCGAAGCCUUUCGUUUACCUGUUACUGGGCCGAAGCCUUUUCAUAAUUCACAUCAUUGGCUGAAGCCUUUACUGUAUACAGCAUGGGCCAUAGGCCCAUUUCAAUAUCAUAUGUAACAUCAAAGAAUGCAUGCAAGCCCAUUUGGGGAGACUACUCAACCCACCAUCCGCUGUUCUCCACCCGUACCAACCAACACACCAUGUGGGGAAUGAUUCAACCCACCCAACCAACACACCACUGGCAGCAUAGCUGCUUUAUCAUAUAAUUGGAGGCCUAGCCUCUUUAAAUAAC
rnacentral:lncRNA from 1 species